rnacentral:rRNA from 1 species
UGCAGAAUCCCGUGAACCAUCGAGUCUUUGAGUGCAAGUUGCGCCUAAGGCCUUCUAGUCGAGGGCACGCCUGCCUGGGCGUCAUGCAAACAACGCUCCGCCCCCUCUGCCCCUUGGGUGGGCGGACAUGGACGAUGGCCCUCCGCGCCCACGGAUGCGGUGGGCUGAAGCACUAGCCGUCGGCAGGGACCGAGACACUCGAGCCGGACGUCGUGCCUUAGGCGCCCUUCAAGGAAGGCCCUCCGAACCCUUUUAACCGAGGCGCUUGCCGUCAUCGGACCGCGACCCCAGGUCAGGCGGGACUACCCGCUAAGUUUAAGCAUAUAAAUAAGUAGAGGAUAAGCAACUUAGAAGGAUUCCUCUAGUAACGACGAGUGAACCGGGAACUGCCCAGCUUGAGAAUCGGACGGCUCUGUCAUCCGA